AUUUAUUUGUUUAUUUUAUUUUAACCUGUGUGUGUGUGUGUGCUUGCUAUCAGUUUCAUAGGUAAAUGUGUGGAAAGAUUAAUUCUAAGUAAAAAUAAAUAUAGCUUUAUUUUCUGUUCUAGUCUAACCUUCCCCUGUCUCAUCUCUGCCUGUCAAUUUCUGCUUCUCCCAUGUGUAUCUCAGCCUCUCCCAGUCUAUCCCAGUCUCUCCCAAUCCAUCCCAGCCUCUCCCAGUGCAUCCCAGCCUCUCCCAGUGCAUCCCAGCCUCUCCCAGAUCAUCCCAGUCUCUCCCAAUCCAUCCCAGCCUCUCCCAGAUCAUCCCAUCCUCUCCCAGACCAUCCCAGCCUCUCUCAGUCCAUCCCAGUAACCCCCUCCAGUCCAUCCCAGCCUCUCCCAGCCUCUUAAUUUUUGUGUGUGUGUGUGCCUUUUGACUAGGUCACCUUGAGUAGUCAGACGGGGCUCACUCAACUGUUGCAGUGUUCGUGUUGCAGUGUUGCAGACUUUCACCCAAACAAGGGGAGUAUUGUUUAUUAAUUGCAUUGAUUUUGUAUAUAUAUUGCUUGAUGGGAGGUGGAUGGUUGGCGGGUGGGUGGGGGAAUCUGAGGGUACCUAUGUAGGGUGUGUGUGUGUGUGUGUCUGUCUGUCUGUCUGUUUUUUUUUUUUUUUUUUUUUGUGUGUGUGUGUAUUUUUUUUUAUAUAUGUGUGUGUGUGUGUGUGUGUGUCUGUGUUUUUUUGUUGUUUGUGUGUGCGUGUGUGUGUGUGUGAGUGUAUUUUAUAUGUGUGUGUGUGUGUGUGUGUAGGUAUUAGGCCAGAAUCUUAGAAUAUUUGACUUAGGUUAAUAGAAGAGUGGUAGGUUAAUAGAAGAGUGGUAAGUUGAUGUUAUUUAUGAAAGGGUUAAGUAAGGCAUAGAGAGACAGAGAGCUACUGAUAGGAUUAGGAUGAUAGGGAGUGUGAAUGGUUAGCUCAGAUUAUAUGGAGUGCUUCAUUCCAUAUAAUCAGAGCUUGUGUGGCAUGCUGCACUGUUGCAUACAAGUAUCUUCUUAUUUCCGUAGUGGUGGUGGUGCUGGUGGUAGUGGUGGUGGUGCUGGUGGUAGUGGUGGUGGUGGUGGUGGCACGUUAUGAAUGAUAUUUUUUUGUUUGUUUUUUUGGUUCGGGGGUAUAUAGUGUUUAUAGAUAUAUAUAUAUAUAUAUUUUUUUUUACCCAGAUCUUUUGGUAAGAGGUCUGGGUUUAUGUAUGGAUGUAUGUACGUGUCUGGCCAGUAUUUGGUAAGAUGCUGGCUGGAUUGUGUGUCCAUGUGUGUGUGUGUGUGUGCGUGUGUGUGUGCGUGUGUGUGUAUGUAUGUAUGUAUGUAUGUACGUGUCUGGCCAGUAUUUGGUAAGAUGCUGGCUGGAUUGUGUGUCCAUGCGUGUGUGUGUGUGUGUGUGUGUGCGUGUGUGUGUAUGUAUGUAUGUAUGUAUGUACGUGUCUGGCCAGUAUUUUGGUAAGAUACUGGCUGGAUUGUGUGUGUGUGUGUGUGUGUGUGUGUGUGCAAUUUUCUUCUUUUAGGUUAACUAAUUAGUUAAAUAAAUAAAUAAAUGAGAAAAUAAAUAAAUAAAUAAAUGAGAAAAUAGGUAAAAGUAAUAAUAAGAAAAUUUGAAAGUAAAUAAAUAUAUAAAUAAAAAUAUAGGAAUAUUUAUGAGGUGGGGGAGCAGAAGGGGGGGUGGGUAAGCAAGAUUAGGAGUGCUGGUAGAAGUAGGGGGUGAAGGGGCGGGUGAGGAAGCUGUAUGGAUGACCACAAUAGGGGGGGCGGGUUGGGGUAGGAUGUGGGUGAUAUAUAAUUUGCUAAUAUUUGAACCCUUUAUAUACCGACAUGCAUACUGACACAUUUCUCUCAGACAGAUAAGCCUGGCUGGUGAGAGAGAGAGGGAGUGGGGGGUUCUGUUUCAUUAUAAUGUGGAUGAGGGGACAAGAGAGCCAGUGUUCCAAGUACCACCACCAUCACCACUGCCACCACCACCACCACCAUCAGGAGCACAGAUUCACUGAAGUCUCUACCAAGAUUUCUUUGAGUUUUUUGAUAAAUUUAACUUCCAGGAGAGAGAGAGAUGCUGAUUGUUAAAGGCAGUGUGUGAAGCCUGCCCACUGUCUUUGUAUAUACAGAAGGUGGAAUUUGAGUCGGCCAAGCCUCAGAAAUGCAGGAAGGAUUAGCGGUGAUGACUGCAGGCUGCCAUCGACCCGCAGGUGUGAUGGUGCCCGACCAGCUGGUACACAUCAGUGAGAUGGUGGUGGUGCUGGAAAACAGCUGGUUUGCCAAGUGCAGCGUCAGGCAGGCUGCCCGCCCACACAGUCACCAGAAGGAUCACAGGUCAUCACAGGAAUCAAAUGCAGCAUCAGUAUGGCUCACCAAACACUUCCCCUCACACUGGUGGUGUUGACCUGCCUUGUGAACACCUGAUCUCCUGUGCUCCUGUCCUUCACAGCUCUCCAGGUGACAUCAGAUGUGGAUGAGGGGACAAGAGAGCCAGUGUUCCAAGUACCACCACCAUCACCACUGCCACCACCACCACCACCAUCAGGAGCACAGAUUCACUGAAGUCUCUACCAAGAUUUCUUUGAGUUUUUUGAUAAAUUUAACUUCCAGGAGAGAGAGAGACAGAGAUGAUUGUUACUGGCAGUGUGUGAAGCCUGCCCACUGUCUUUGUAUAUACAGAAGGUGGAAUUUGAGUCGGCCAAGCCUCAGAAAUGCAGGAAGGAUUAGCGGUGAUGACUGCAGGCUGCCAUCGACCCGCAGGUGUGAUGGUGCCCGACCAGCUGGUACACAUCAGUGAGAUGGUGGUGGUGCUGGAAAACAGCUGGUUUGCCAAGUGCAGCGUCAGGCAGGCUGCCCGCCCACACAGUCACCAGAAGGAUCACAGGUCAUCACAGGAAUCAAAUGCAGCAUCAGUAUGGCUCACCAAACACUUCCCCUCACACUGGUGGUGUUGACCUGCCUUGUGAACACCUGAUCUCCUGUGCUCCUGUCCUUCACAGCUCUCCAGGUGACAUCAGAUGUGGAUGAGGGGACAAGAGAGCCAGUGUUCCAAGUACCACCACCAUCACCACUGCCACCACCACCACCACCAUUAGGAGCACAGAUUCACUGAAGUCUCUACCAAGAUUUCUUUGAGUUUUUUGAUAAAUUUAACUUCCAGGAGAGAGAGAGACAGAGAUGAUUGUUACUGGCAGUGUGUGAAGCCUGCCCACUGUCUUUGUAUAUACAGAAGGUGGAAUUUGAGUCGGCCAAGCCUCAGAAAUGCAGGAAGGAUUAGCGGUGAUGACUGCAGGCUGCCAUCGACCCGCAGGUGUGAUGGUGCCCGACCAGCUGGUACACAUCAGUGAGAUGGUGGUGGUGCUGGAAAACAGCUGGUUUGCCAAGGGCAGCGCCAGGCAGGCUGCCUGCCCACACAGUCACCAGAAGGAUCACAGGUUCCAUUCACAGGUAAAGCCUCAUCAGACACAACACAGAGUGCAGCUUCUUCUGAGAUACCAGUGGUCUGAAGUGAAGCUGCAAGAAGUUUUCCCAGCACAGAUCUUCACUUACAUUUCUGUUGCCAGCACAUCUCCCGUCAGGUCUUGGGAGCACCGGGUGUUGUUCGGCAGGAAGGAGGCCAGGUUGUUAGGGCACGGCCUCACCCCACUGUCGCGCACACCCACAGGCAUGAGGGGUGCCAGCCAGCAGGCCACGUCCCCAACACAGCUCCCACCUGCAUCCUGACCUCAUUCAGCAUCAACACCAGCCACACAGAAAAGUGAUGCUCCUGCAACAGCUGACGUUUACCUUUGCCAGUCACCUCGUCCAUGCUGAACUGCUCCACCAGCACCUUUGAAGCAGCUGUCCUACAUCCUCCUGGAAGCAACAGCAUACAGUCAUCACAGGAAUCAAAUGCAGCAUCAGUAUGGCUCACCAAACACUUCCCCUCACACUGGUGGUGUUGACCUGCCUUGUGAACACCUGAUCUCCUGUGCUCCUGUCCUUCACAGCUCUCCAGGUGACAUCAGCUGAGUGCAGCUGUCGGUGACUGCAGGAAUGGACCUCAGAUGGUGGAUACAGCAUUACCAAGUCAAGAAGGAGACACUGUGAUGUGGCUGCAGGUGGAUAGAUACCAGGAUAUGUGACCACCACCACCACCAUUGGAGAUGCUCCUCCCUAGUUGCACAUUACGGCCCUGUUGUGUACCCUGGUGGCCUUCAUAGUUGACCGGCAUACCCUUGGCCUCCAUGUCCAUCCAGCAGGAGGAAGAUGUUCUGGACACCUGGUUCUCCUCUUGCCUGUUUCCUUUUGCCUCGCUGGGCUGGCCAGGUCUGGGGAGGAGAGAGACCAUGCCUGACCUUGCUCGCUUCUACCCAACGACCUUGGUGGAGACGAGUCACGACAUCCUCUUCUUCUGGGUGAUUCAGAUGGUCAUGCUGGGACUCAACCUGACGGGGAGGCUUCCCUUUGAGAUCGAGCCGUGGUGGUGGUGACUGGCAGGCUAGCACAGAGACUGGACCGUGGACGCCAGCGCUGUGUGGUGGUGCGGGUCACAGUGCCACAGCCAGGCCAGGUCACCCUACACGACCUGACCUUGCCUCAUGGGUUGUACCAGGUCAGGGUUGUCAAAAUGGUUGAGACAAGACAGCUGGAUGAGGUCACUGAUGGAGGAAGAAGAGGAGGAGGAGGAGGGGAAGAAGAAGAAGGAAGAGGAGGAGGAGGAGGAGGAGGAGGAGGAGGAGGAGGAGGAGGAGGAGGAAGGAUAAUCGUCAAAAAGCAUCAGUUUUUUGUACCCACAGAGAGGCGGAGAGAGAGGAUCCUGGUGAGAAACAGAAGGCACAACAAGAUCACCACGUCUCAGCCCAGCAGGCAGUGGCUUCAGCUGUCUAACACUGACCUCAUCCUACGGAAAUACAGCGCACAGGAGAGACGACAAGAAAAUUCGACCUACGGAAGAAUUACUGGUGACGGGAGGGGAGGAAGAGGCCCCUGUGUCUGCUGCAAUUGCUUUAGUUUCUUUCUAGAUUACAACAACAUGACGGCUGUGCUAACUUUCAACUACAGCCUCAAUGAAUCCUGCCAGGCUGUAUGCUCUAAAGUUACAGGUCCCC